rnacentral:lncRNA from 1 species
AAAAAAAUAAUGAUAAAUUUAAUAAACCAAGAGAAAAGGACCAUUAUUCUUCUUCUUCUACUUCCGAUUUAGAAGAGCUAAAUAAAAAGAAUAUAAAAAAAUUAAAAAAAGAAUCUGUGUAUUUACACAAGUACAAUUUUUCUAAUAUGAUUGAGAAACAAAUUGAAAGCAUAGUAAAUAUAUUUAUUGAAGUGUAUUACGAUAUGAAGAUGUACAUAAAAAAAGAAAACGAGAACGAGAACGAGAACGAGAAUGAAAGUGAAAACCAAAAACAAAACCAAAACCAAAACCAAAACCAAAACCAAAAACAAAACCAAAACGAGAAGAUAAGAUUUAGUAGAAUAAAUAAGUCUCAGUUCAUUGAUUCGUUAAACAUGUUCUACAUUUUACUUAAUAAUAAAUUAAAUUAUAAAAACAAACAAAUAUAUAUGUACAAAAAUAGCAUAAAAAAAAUUAAGAACGUGUUUAAUGACUAUAACAAAAUGGAUAAUGAAAUAAAAUCCAUAAACGAAGUUAUAAAAGAAAUGAAAGUUGAUUGUGAAAAACAUAAUGCCAAUAUAAAAGAGAACUCUAGAUUAUUAAUAAGCGUAGACGAAAAACUAGCAAAAAAUAAACAAGUGUUAAAUUAUGUAACAAAUUAUAUAGACGAAACGAUAGAAAAGAAUAACGAAGCGGAACAUAAAAUAGAGGAAGAGGGAAUAACUAUAAUUUUUAAAAUUCAACAAAUAGAACAAAAUGAAAUAAAAAAUAUAUUAAAAAUGAAAACGCCUGAAAUGUAUAUGAUAUAUAUAGCAACAAUGAUAAAUACGCUAUCACGUAAUAAUUUAUUACAAGAUUUGAAUGAAAAUUGGAGCUAUUUUAAAAAUGCUAUAUCAAAAGAUCAGUUUACUAAGUUUUUUUUUCAUCACAAAAAAGAAAGCACAAGUGAAAAACAGAUUAAAAAAUUAAAGGAGUUAGUAGAACACAACGAAAUUAUUAGUAACAUUUCCAAAAUAAAACAACUAAACAAUCUAUUUACUUAUUUAUAUGAAUAUUGUAUACAUAUUCUGAAGUACAACGAAUUUUAUAAAACAGCUUGUGAAAUUAAAGAAGAAAUAUCCAAUAAUAUAGAAAAAAAAAAAAAAUAUGAAAAUGAAAAUAAAAAUUAUAUGGAGGAAAUGCAUAAAAUAAGAACUAAGUUAUUGAAUGAUAAAAAUGAGAUAAAUAUAAAAAAUGAAACAAUUGAUGAACUAAAUAAAAAAUUAAAUCUGAUUA